AUGGCUAGAUCGGUGGUGUUGGCGAUGUGCGUGGUGUUUGUAGUGGUGGUGGCAGGGGGUGCGAUGCCCCAAAAGUUGGUGUGUAGUGCUAAGUUGUAUAUGCUUGCACCCUGCGAUUCAGUCAUCAAAGAAGAACCUUGGAGUGCACCUUCGACGUUGUGCUGCUCGAACCUCCGGGCACUGGAGCAGGAGGGCUGCAUCUGCCCGUACUUGCAGGAUCCGGUGUACUACGGCUACAUCAAUCGCCCCAACUUGCUCAAGACACUCACCUCAUGUGGCAUCCGCAUUCCGCCAGCAUGUCCAACUAUAUAA
rnacentral:rRNA from 1 species